rnacentral:rRNA from 1 species
AACGAACGCUGGCGGCAUGCCUAACACAUGCAAGUCGAACGAGACCUUCGGGUAUAGUGGCGCAAGGGUGCGUAACGCGUGAGAACCUGCUCUUAGGUUCGGAAUAACUCCCCGAAAGGGGUGCAAAUACCGGAAAAGGUCUCCGAACCAAAGAUUUAUCGCCUCUGGAUGGGCCCGCGUUGGAUUAGCUAGUUGGUAGGGUAAAAGCCUACCAAGGCGACGAUCCAUAGCUGGGCUGAGAGGAUGAUCAGCCACACUAGGACUGAGACACGGCCCAGACUCCUACGGGAGGCAGCAGGGGGGAAUAUGGGACGAUGGGCGAGAGCCUGAUCCAGCAAGGCCGCGUGAGUGAUGAAGGCCUUAGGGUUGUAAAGCUCUUUUACCCGGGAUGAUAAUGACGGUACCGGGAUAAUAAGCGCCGGCUAACUCCGUG